rnacentral:rRNA from 1 species
UACGAAGGGGGCGAGCGUUGUUCGGAAUUACUGGGCGUAAAGGGCGCGCAGGCGGCUCUGAAAGUCAGAUGUGAAAGCCCCGGGCUUAACUCCGAAACUGCAUUCGAUACUGGCGUGCUUGAGGACUGGAGAGGAGACUGGAAUUUACGGUGUAGCAGUGAAAUGCGUAGAUAUCGUAAGGAAGACCAGUGGCGAAGGCGGGUCUCUGGACAGUUCCUGACACUGAGACACGAAGGCCAGGGGAGCAAACGGG